rnacentral:rRNA from 1 species
GACGAACCGUCCUAACGUUGUUCGGAAUCACUGGGCUUAAAGGGCGCGUAGGCGGGUUCCCAAGUCGGUGGUGAAAUCUUUCGGCCCAACCGGAAAACAGCCGCCGAUACUGGGAGUCUUGAGGGAGGUAGGGGUCGAUGGAACUUCCGGUGGAGCGGUGAAAUGACGUAGAUAUCGGAAGGAACGCCGGUGGCGAAAGCGAAUCGGACUGGACCUUUUCGUGACGCUGAGGCGCGAAAGCCAGGGGAGCAAACGGGG